rnacentral:rRNA from 2 species
GACCUCGAAUCAGGUAGGAUUACCCGCUGAACU